rnacentral:rRNA from 1 species
GGCUCAGAUUGAACGCUGGCGGCAUGCCUUACACAUGCAAGUCGAACGGUAACAGGUCUUCGGAUGCUGACGAGUGGCGAACGGGUGAGUAAUACAUCGGAACGUGCCCGAGAGUGGGGGAUAACGGAGCGAAAGCUUUGCUAAUACCGCAUACGAUCUCAGGAUGAAAGCAGGGGACCGCAAGGCCUUGCGCUCACGGAGCGGCCGAUGGCAGAUUAGGUAGUUGGUGGGAUAAAAGCUUACCAAGCCGACGAUCUGUAGCUGGUCUGAGAGGACGACCAGCCACACUGGGACUGAGACACGGCCCAGACUCCUACGGGAGGCAGCAGUGGGGAAUUUUGGACAAUGGGCGCAAGCCUGAUCCAGCCAUGCCGCGUGCAGGAUGAAGGCCUUCGGGUUGUAAACUGCUUUUGUACGGAACGAAACGGCUCUUUCUAAUAAAGAGGGCUAAUGACGGUACCGUAAGAUAGA